UACGUAGGGGGCAAGCGUUGUCCGGAAUUAUUGGGCGUAAAGAGCUCGUAGGCGGUUUGUCGCGUCUGCUGUGAAAACCCGAGGCUCAACCUCGGGCCUGCAGUGGGUACGGGCAGACUAGAGUGCGGUAGGGGAGAUUGGAAUUCCUGGUGUAGCGGUGGAAUGCGCAGAUAUCAGGAGGAACACCAAUGGCGAAGGCAGAUCUCUGGGCCGUAACUGACGCUGAGGAGCGAAAGCAUGGGGAGCGAACAGG
rnacentral:rRNA from 1 species